GUAGGUGGCAAGCGUUGUCCGGAAUUAUUGGGCGUAAAGCGCGCGCAGGCGGUUCUUUAAGUCUGAUGUGAAAGCCCACGGCUCAACCGUGGAGGGUCAUUGGAAACUGGAGAACUUGGGUACAGAAGAGGAAAGCGGAAUUCCACGUGUAGCGGUGAAAUGCGUAGAGAUGUGGAGGAACACCAGUGGCGAAGGCGGCUUUCUGGUCUGUAACUGACGCUGAGGCGCGAAAGCGUGGGGAGCAAACAGGGAUUAGAUACCCUGGUAGUCCACGCCGUAAACGAUGAGUGCUAAGUGUUAGGGGGCUUCCGCCCCCCUUAGUGCUGCAGCUAACGCAUUAAGCACUCCGCUUGGGAGUACGGCCGCAAGGCUG
rnacentral:rRNA from 1 species